rnacentral:rRNA from 1 species
AUGACCGAGUAUUGGGUGAGCCAAGGAAACAAAUGGUGCGACUUGUGCAAAAUCUUCAUAUCCAACAAUCCCUUCAGCAUCAGAACACAUGAACUCGGCAAACGCCACAAGGACAAUGUCACCCAAAGAUUGUCUACGAUGCAAAAGGAUGGUGCUGCUAAGGAAAAGGAGCAGCAACAAGCAGCAAAAGCUCUCCAACUGAUAGAGGCUAAAGCUAAAAAGAGUUACCAGAAAGAUUUAGAGAAUAACCAGAGAAACACUGAUGGUGACAGUUCUGCAGCACCUGGAGAAGGAUGGGUAUUUGACUCAACUUCAGGAUAUUAUUAUGAUAAAGCCACUGGACUUUAUUACGACUCGAACUCUGGUUUCUAUUAUUCCGACGGAUUAGGCAAAUGGGUCACCCAGGAAGAGGCAUACAAGUGGGCGGAAACCUCAAAAACCAAUGUUGCGCAAUCCUCGACCUCGCAACCAAAACCGGCUGGUGGAGGCGGGCCUGUCGCCGGUAUUAAAGGAGGGCCAGCCCCAGGUGUGGUUGUCACGAAACCACUGAAUCCGAUGAGAGCUGUGAAGGGUGCUCCUUCAGCUCUUGCUGCUAAUAAGAGAAAAAGAGAGGACACCAAGAAGCCCAAGGUGGUCUCGAAGGAGGAGGAGGCAGCACUCAGAGCACGGGAAGCAGCUCGGAAAAGAGUGGAGGACAGGGAGAAGCCUCUCAUGGGAUUGUACAAGACGUACUGA